UACGUAGGGAGCAAGCGUUGUUCGGAUUUACUGGGCGUAAAGGGCGCGUAGGCGGCGUGUUAAGUCAGCUGUGAAAUCUCUGAGCUCAACUCAGAACGGCCAGCUGAUACUGAUGUGCUAGAGUGCAGAAGGGGCAACCGGAAUUCUUGGUGUAGCGGUGAAAUGCGUAGAUAUCAAGAGGAACACCUGAGGCGAAGGCG
rnacentral:rRNA from 1 species